CGGAUUUAUUGGGCGUAAAGGGCGCGCAGGCGGCUACGCACGUCCGUUGUGAAAUCGCUCGGCUCAACUGGGCGGGGUCAGCGGAUACGGCGUGGCUGGAGCAAGCUAGGGGGCAAUGGAAUUCCCGGUGUAGUGGUGGAAUGCGUAGAUAUCGGGAGGAACACCAGUGGCGAAGGCGGUUGCCUGGAGCUUUGCUGACGCUGAGGCGCGAAAGCGUGGGGAGCGAUCCGG
rnacentral:rRNA from 1 species